rnacentral:tRNA from 1 species
CUCGACAUAGCUCAGCCCGGUAGAGCGACAGACUGUAGUAAUCUGUUGGUCCUUGGUUCGAAUCCGAGUGUCGAGA